rnacentral:rRNA from 1 species
UGAUCCCAUCCCGAACUCAGUAGUGAAACGAUGCAUCGCCGAUGGUAGUGUGGGGUUUCCCCAUGUGAGAGUAGGUCAUCGUCAAGA